rnacentral:lncRNA from 1 species
GUGGUGUGCUAUUUGUGUGUGGUGUGCAUAUGUGUGGGGUGUCUGGUGUUUGGGUGUGUUUGGUAUGUGUGGUGUGUGGUAUGAGUGUAUGUGUGUGCACAGUGUGUGUGGUGUUGGGGGAGUGUCUGGGAGUGUGUGUUUGUGUGUGUAUAUUUGUGUGUAUGUGUGUGUGUGUAGUGUGGGGGUGUCUGAUGUAUUUGGGGUGUGUGU